UACGGGGGGGGCAAGCGUUGUUCGGAAUUACUGGGCGUAAAGGGCUCGUAGGCGGCCAACUAAGUCCGACGUGAAAUCCCCAGGCUUAACCUGGGAACUGCGUCGGAUACUGGAUGGCUUGAAUCCGGGAGAGGUGAGUGGAAUUCCCGGUGUAGCGGUGAAAUUCGUAGAUAUUCGCAAGAACACCAGUGGCGAAGGCGGCUCACUGGCCCGAUACUGACGCUGAGGUGCGAAGGCGUGGGGAGCAAACAGG
rnacentral:rRNA from 1 species